AGCAGAUCUAGACAACUAAGUGGGUAAAGCGCCUACUGCCUUGUCUGCACCAGCGCUCUUAUUACUACCACAAAUGGAGUUGCAUCAGCAUUAGUAACAGUAGGAAAUGUUAGGGAUGCAAAGCCAUGAUAAGCUCUUUAAGGGCUUCUCUUCACCAGUAAAUUCACCUGAGUUAUGGCACAAGUGUUCCCAGUGAACGCACUGUUCGGACUUUAUGACUUGGCCGGAGGGCAAAACCGGAUGUGAUACGGAGUCCUUAUCUUCUGUGUUAUUGGCUUAGCACCACUAGCGCUUGCUGUAAUCUGCGUUUCUAACAGCCCAGGUUUUGUACAAGUGUGUGGGAUAUAGACAAGGCCUUUGUAUUUGCUGCUGAUGAUUGAAAGCUCUUAUAAUAAACAUCUAACUGGAGAAGACCCACCAAGGUCAGUUGGCAGCUUGCAGGGGGCACCAGAGGUGAGAAAAGAAUUGUGAUCUCGCACCCUGUUACCCCAUCGUGUCACACAUGAUUGAGGAUGUUACAGCAACCGCCAUGCAACUCAAGUGUCAUUGUGCAGCAUAGGUGCAUUCUCUCAGGCUAGGAAGUAACUGAUGGUUGAUGGGCUUGAGUGAGUGCUGUAGUGUGGACACACCAUGUAUCUGAGGAGGGCCUAGAAUUCCAGGCAUAGGCAAGUGAGGUGAAUGAUUUAAGUAGCGUUGCAAACUUGGUGGUGUUGGUAUCAAGCAUUCAGCCAACUCCUCUGCCCUGCCCUGCCCUCUUGUAUGGUCUUCCUUAUCAUGGGACAUGCAAUACUGGUAGUGAGUGUUACUGCAGCAUUAUUAUUGUUGCAUUCAGUGUGUCCUCUUCACUUCUGGGUUAUCUUUCCCAGGGAUGCCAAGAAAACCAUUCUUUCUUCAUUGGUGUAAUUUACUCAGACUUAGUUUAGGCAAAAAAGGUAGGUCAACUCAGCUAUAUUGCUCAGGGGUGUGAAAAAUCUGCACUCUUGAGCGAUGUUGUUAAGCCAACCUAACCCCCUCUGUAAACAGCAUUAGCUAUCAACUCUCAGGAAGGUGGGUUACCUGCCCCGAUGGGAGAACCCCUCCUGUCAGCAUCGGGAGUGUCUACAUCAGGAGUAGGCAACCUGCGGCACGUGAGCUGAUUUUCAGUGGCACUCGCACUGCCCGGGUCCUGGCCACUGGCUAGGUGGCUCU
rnacentral:lncRNA from 1 species